rnacentral:lncRNA from 1 species
GAGAUUGAGGGAGCGAUUUCAUUGAGGGCGAUGGAGGGAGUUUGCUUGUAGAGAUUGAGAGAAGAGAGAGUUCGUGCGUGAGGUUUGAGAACUGGAUUUUCGUUGUCUUCACCUUUUCCUUUCCUUUUUUAUUUUUUAUUAUUUAUUUGCUUUUAUUAGGCAGACCAUUUAAUCUCCACUAAUUGAACGUUUAGAGUUCUCAAUGGUCAUUAACUAUGUUUUAUUGGUAUUAGUUU